rnacentral:other from 1 species
CAUGGGACGCUAGUUGUGAACAAGGUGUGAAGAGCCUAUUGAGCUACCUAAGAGUCCUCCGGCCCCUGAAUGCGGCUAAUCCUAACCACGGAGCAAGUGCCUUCAGCCCAGAAGGUAGCUUGUCGUAACGCGCAAGUCUGUGGCGGAACCGACUACUUUGGGUGUCCCGUGUUUCCCCUUAUUUUCAUUGUGGCUGCUUGCGGGACUAUAAUUGAUUGCCAUCAUAAAGCGAUUUGGAUUGGCCAUCCGGAG